GCACUAGUAGCUUAAUGGUAGAGCCUUUCAAUGUCACUGAAAGAAGUGUCAGUUCAAGUCUGAUUUAGUGCG
rnacentral:tRNA from 2 species